rnacentral:rRNA from 1 species
UGGGGAAUAUUGCACAAUGGGCGCAAGCCUGAUGCAGCCAUGCCGCGUGUGUGAAGAAGGCCUUCGGGUUGUAAAGCACUUUCAGCGAGGAGGAAGGUGGUGGACUUAAUACGUUCAUCAAUUGACGUUACUCGCAGAAGAAGCACCGGCUAACUCCGUGCCAGCAGCCGCGGUAAUACGGAGGGUGCAAGCGUUAAUCGGAAUUACUGGGCGUAAAGCGCACGCAGGCGGUUUGUUAAGUCAGAUGUGAAAUCCCCGGGCUCAACCUGGGAACUGCAUUUGAAACUGGCAAGCUAGAGUCUCGUAGAGGGGGGUAGAAUUCCAGGUGUAGCGGUGAAAUGCGUAGAGAUCUGGAGGAAUACCGGUGGCGAAGGCGGCCCCCUGGACGAAGACUGACGCUCAGGUGCGAAAGCGUGGGGCAGCAAACAGGAUUAGAUACCCUGGUAGUCCACGCUGUAAACGAUGUCGAUUUUGGAGGUUGUGCCCUUGAGGCGUGGCUUCCGGAGCUAACGCGUUAAAUCGACCGCCUGGGGAGUACGGCCGCAAGGUUAAAAC